rnacentral:rRNA from 1 species
ACAACAGUUGGAAACGACUGCUAAUACCGCAUAAUGUCUACGGACCAAAGGGGGCUUCGGCUCUCGCCUUUAGAUUGGCCCAAGUGGGAUUAGCUAGUUGGUGAGGUAAUGGCUCACCAAGGCGACGAUCCCUAGCUGGUUUGAGAGGAUGAUCAGCCACACUGGGACUGAGACACGGCCCAGACUCCUACGGGAGGCAGCAGUGGGGAAUAUUGCACAAUGGGCGCAAGCCUGAUGCAGCCAUGCCGCGUGUGUGAAGAAGGCCUUCGGGUUGUAAAGCACUUUCAGUCAGGAGGAAAGGGUGGUAGUUAAUACCUGUCAUGUGUGACGUUACUGACAGAAGAAGCACCGGCUAACUCCGUGCCAGCAGCCGCGGUAAUACGGAGGGUGCGAGCGUUAAUCGGAAUUACUGGGCGUAAAGCGUACGCAGGCGGUUUGUUAAGCGAGAUGUGAAAGCCCCGGGCUCAACCUGGGAACUGCAUUUCGAACUGGCAAACUAGAGUGUGAUAGAGGGUGGUAGAAUUUCAGGUGUAGCGGUGAAAUGCGUAGAGAUCUGAAGGAAUACCGAUGGCGAAGGCAGCCACCUGGGGUCAACACUGACGCUCAUGUACGAAAGCGUGGGGAGCAAA